rnacentral:rRNA from 1 species
AUUGAACGCUGGCGGCAUGCUUUACACAUGCAAGUCGAACGGCAGCGCGGGCUUCGGCCUGGCGGCGAGUGGCGAACGGGUGAGUAAUGCAUCGGAACGUGCCCAGUCGUGGGGGAUAGCCCGGCGAAAGGCGGCUUUAUACCGCAUACGACCUGAGGGUGAAAGCGGGGGACCGAACUGCCUCGCGCCAUUGGCGCGGCCGCUGUCGGAUUAGCCAGUUGGUGGGGUAAAGGCUUACCAAGGCGACGAUCCGUAGCUGGUCUGAGAGGACGACCAGCCACACUGGGACUGAGACACGGCCCAGACUCCUACGGGAGGCAGCAGUGGGGAAUUUUGGACAAUGGGGGCAACCCUGAUCCAGCCAUGCCGCGUGCGGGAAGAAGGCCUUCGGGUUGUAAACCGCUUUUGUUCGGGAAGAAAUCCUCUGGGCUAAUACCCCGGGGGGAUGACGGUACCGGAAGAAUAAGCACCGGCUAACUACGUG